rnacentral:rRNA from 1 species
CCUACGGGAGGCAGCAGUGAGGAAUAUUGGUCAAUGGGCUUACGCCUGAACCAGCCAAGUCGCGUGAGGGAAGACUGCCCUAUGGUUUGUAAACCUCUUUUGUCAGGGAGCAACUCCGGCUACGUGUAGCCGGACUGAGUGUCCCUGAAGAAAAAGCAUCCGCAAACUCCGUCCCGGCGGCCGCGGUAAUACGGAGGAUGCGAGCGUUCUCCGGAUUUAUUGGGUUUAAGGGGUGCGUAGGCGGAAUAUCAAGUCAGCGGUAAAAAUUCGGGGCUAAACCCCGUCGUGCCGUUGAUACUGGUGUUCUUGAGUGGGCGAGAGGUAUGCGGAAUGCGUGGUGUAGCGGUGAAAUGCAUAGAUAUCACGCAGAACACCGAUUGCGAAGGCAGCAUACUGG